CCGUAACUAUAACGGUCCUAAGGUAGCGAAAUUCCUUGUCGGGUAAGUUCCGACCCGCACGAAAGGCGUAACGAGUGGAGCACUGUCUCAGCAGGGGACCCGGCGAAAUUGAAGUAUGCGUAAAAAUGCGUAUUACCCGCAGCAGGACAAAAAGACCCCGUGGAGCUUUACUGCAGCUUGAUAUUGGAUUAGGGCUUACUCUGUGUAGGUUUCGUUGGUGGCUGUAAAGCUGGUUAGCAAAGAUCGGUGGAGUCGAUGGUGAAAUACCACCCUGAUUGAGUUUUGAUUCUAACCUGUACCGUAACCCGGUAUGGGGACAGUGUCAGGUGGGCAGUUUGACUGGGGCGGUCGCCUCCGAAAGGGUAACGGAGGCGCCCAAAGGUUGGCUCAGAUGGAAUGGAAACCCAUCGUAGAGUGUAAAGGCAGAAGCCAGCUUGACUGCGAGACGGACAUGUCGAGCAGAGACGAAAGUCGGGCUUAGUGAUCCUACGGUACAGAGUGGAAUGGCCGUAGCUUACCGGAUAAAAGCUACCCCGGGGAUAACAGGCUAGUCUUGCCCAAGAGUUCAAAUCGACGGCAAGGCUCGGCACCUCGAUGUCGGCUCAUCGCAUCCUGGGGCUGAAUAAGGUCCCAAGGGUUGGGCUGUUCGCCCAUUAAAGCGGUACGUGAGCUGGGUUCAGACCGUCGUGAGACAGGUCGGUCUCUAUCCGCUGUGGGCGUUGGGAAUUUGCGAGGAGUUGCCCCUAGUACGAGAGGACCGGGGUGGACGAAGCGCUCGUGUGUCAGUUGUCGCGCCGGCGGCAUAGCUGAGUAGCGACCUUCGGUUGGGAUAACCGCUGAAAGCAUCUAAGUGGGAAGCCGUCCUCAAGACAAGAUUCCCCAUUGGGCAAACCAAGUAAGACCGCUGGGAGACUACCAGUUAGAUAGGCGGGGGGUGUAAGCGCAGUGAUGCGUGCAGCUGACCCGUACUAAUGGUCGAGGGCUUUCGGUA
rnacentral:rRNA from 1 species